ensembl:snoRNA small Cajal body-specific RNA 12
CCGGCUGAUGAGACCAAGGCGAAUGUGACUCAGGCUCUGCCCAUGGCUCCCAGGCGGGGGGCUGCAGGUGGGAUCUGGGAUCUUGGUGGGGACACCCAAGGCCAGGCUCCCCGCGGUAGGCUAGAUCCAUAGCACUGCUGGCCUCCCCUCAUGUCUGCUGCUGCCUUUGGCUCCUGGCAGUGGCCAUUGGGGAGGCCCACAGGCGGGGCUGGGGUUGGUGGGCAGAAGCUUCGUGAGCACAGGCUUGGAUCUGACG